UGUUGUAAUAAUUCCAGAUGAACAGCAAAGGGGCUCAGUCAUACGUAUACAUGUAACCAUUCUCCCCUAAACUCCUCUCCCAUCCAGGCUGCCUCGUAACAUUAAGCAGAGUCCCAUGUGCCACACAGCAGGUCCUUGUUAGUUAAGUAAUUUAAAUAUAGCAAAGUG